rnacentral:rRNA from 1 species
UUGGAGGGCAAGUCUGGUGCCAGCAGCCGCGGUAAUUCCAGCUCCAAUAGCGUAUAUUAAAGUUGUUGCAGUUAAAAAGCUCGUAGUUGAACUUCGGGACCUGUGGGUUGGUCGUGCCUCCGGUACGUACUGGCUCUACCGGUUCCUCCCUUCUGAAGAACCACGAUGUCAUUAAUUUGGUGUCGUGGGGAAUCAGGACUGUUACUUUGAAAAAAUUAGAGUGUUUAAAGCAGGCUAAAGCUUGAAUAGAUUAGCAUGGAAUAACGAAAUAGGACGUUUGAUCUUAUUUUGUUGGUUUCUAAGAUCGACGUAAUGAUUAAUAGGGAUAGUUGGGGGCAUUAGUAUUCAAUUGUCAGAGGUGAAAUUCUUGGAUUUAUUGAAGACUAACUACUGCGAAAGCAUUUGCCGAGGAUGUUUUCAUUAAUCAAGAACGAAAGUUAGGGGAUCGAAGACGAUCAGAUACCGUCGUAGUCUUAACCAUAAACUAUGCCGACUAGGGAUCGGAUGAUGUUAAUUUUUUAAUGACUCAUUCGGCGCCUUACGGGAAAC